rnacentral:rRNA from 1 species
GACGAACGCUGGCGGCGUGCUUAACACAUGCAAGUCGAACGAAGUGGCGAACGGGUGAGUAACGCGUAAUCAACCUGCCCUUCAGAGGGGGAUACCAGUUGGAAACGACUGCUAAUCCCGCAUACUGAAGGAGGGGAUUGCGUCUGAUUAGCUAGUUGGAGGGGUAACGGCCCACCAAGGGGAGGCUCAGUAGCCGGUCUGAGAGGAUGGACGGCCAAAUUGGGAAUGGGAAACGGGCCAGACGCCUACGGGAGGCAGCAGGGGGGAAUCUUCCGCAAUGGACGGAAGUCUGACGGAGCAACGCCGCGGGAGGGAUGACGGCCUUCGGGGUGUAAAGCUCUGUUAAUCGGGACGCGGUACCGGAAUAGAAAGCCACGGCUAACUACGUGCCAGCAGCCGCGGUAAUUC